rnacentral:rRNA from 1 species
CAUGCAAGUCGAGGGGAAACGACAUCGAAAGCUUGCUUUUGAUGGGCGUCGACCGGCGCACGGGUGAGUAACGCGUAUCCAACCUGCCCACCACUUGGGGAUAACCUUGCGAAAGUAAGACUAAUACCCAAUGAUAUCUCUAGAAGACAUCUGAAAGAGAUUAAAGAUUUAUCGGUGAUGGAUGGGGAUGCGUCUGAUUAGCUUGUUGGCGGGGUAACGGCCCACCAAGGCGACGAUCAGUAGGGGUUCUGAGAGGAAGGUCCCCCACAUUGGAACUGAGACACGGUCCAAACUCCUACGGGAGGCAGCAGUGAGGAAUAUUGGUCAAUGGACGAGAGUCUGAACCAGCCAAGUAGCGUGCAGGAAGACGGCCCUAUGGGUUGUAAACUGCUUUUAUAAGGGAAUAAAGUGAGUCUCGUGAGACUUUUUGCAUGUACCUUAUGAAUAAGGACCGGCUAAUUCCGUGCCAGCAGCCGCGGUAAUACGGAGGGUCCGGGCGUUAUCCGGAUUUAUUGGGUUUAAAGGGAGCGUAGGCCGGAGAUUAA